rnacentral:tRNA from 1 species
AAGGAUUUAAGUUAAGCAAACUUUCAACCUUCAAAGUUGACAUUAUAGAACAUUUAUAAGCCUUA